rnacentral:rRNA from 1 species
UACGUAGGGCGCAAGCGUUAAUCGGAAUUACUGGGCGUAAAGCGUGCGCAGGCGGUUAUAUAAGACAGUUGUGAAAUCCCCGGGCUCAACCUGGGGAACUGCAUCUGUGACUGUAUAGCUAGAGUACGGUAGAGGGGGAUGGAAUUCCGCGUGUAGCAGUGAAAUGCGUAGAUAUGCGGAGGAACACCGAUGGCGAAGGCAAUCCCCUGGGCCUGUACUGACGCUCAUGCACGAAAGCGUGGGGAGCAAACAGG